GAGUUUGAUCAUGGCUCAGAUUGAACGCUGGCGGCAGGCCUAACACAUGCAAGUCGAGCGGAUGACGGGAGCUUGCUCCUUGAUUCAGCGGCGGACGGGUGAGUAAUGCCUAGGAAUCUGCCUGGUAGUGGGGGACAACGUUUCGAAAGGAACGCUAAUACCGCAUACGUCCUACGGGAGAAAGCAGGGGACCUUCGGGCCUUGCGCUAUCAGAUGAGCCUAGGUCGGAUUAGCUAGUUGGUGGGGUAAUGGCUCACCAAGGCGACGAUCCGUAACUGGUCUGAGAGGAUGAUCAGUCACACUGGAACUGAGACACGGUCCAGACUCCUACGGGAGGCAGCAGUGGGGAAUAUUGGACAAUGGGCGAAAGCCUGAUCCAGCCAUGCCGCGUGUGUGAAGAAGGUCUUCGGAUUGUAAAGCACUUUAAGUUGGGAGGAAGGGCAGUAAGUUAAUACCUUGCUGUUUGACGUUACCGACAGAAUAAGCACCGGCUAACUCUGUGCCAGCCGCCG
rnacentral:rRNA from 1 species